GCAUUGGAGGUUCAGUGGUAGAAUUCUCGCCUGCCACGCGGGAGACCCGGAUUCGAUUCCCGGCCAAUGCA
rnacentral:tRNA from 1 species